rnacentral:rRNA from 1 species
CCUACGGGGGGCUGCAGUGGGGAAUAUUGCACAAUGGGCGCAAGCCUGAUGCAGCCAUGCCGCGUGUGUGAAGAAGGCCUUCGGGUUGUAAAGCACUUUCAGCGGGGAGGAAGGCGUUAAGGUUAAUAACCUUGGCGAUUGACGUUACCCGCAGAAGAAGCACCGGCUAACUCCGUGCCAGCAGCCGCGGUAAUACGGAGGGUGCAAGCGUUAAUCGGAAUUACUGGGCGUAAAGCGCACGCAGGCGGUCUGUCAAGUCGGAUGUGAAAUCCCUGGGCUCAACCUGGGAACUGCAUUCGAAACUGGCAGGCUAGAGUCUUGUAGAGGGGGGUAGAAUUCCAGGUGUAGCGGUGAAAUGCGUAGAGAUCUGGAGGAAUACCGGUGGCGAAGGCGGCCCCCUGGACAAAGACUGACGCUCAGGUGCGAAAGCGUGGGGAGCAAACAGGAUUAGAUACCCGUGUAGUC